GACGAACGCUGGCGGCGUGCUUAAUACAUGCAAGUCGAACGGAAAGGCCCUGCUUUUGCUGGGUGCUCGAGUGGCGAACGGGUGAGUAAAACGUGAGUAACCUGCCCUUGACUUUGGGAUAACUUCAGGAAACUGGGGCUAAUACCGGAUAGGAGCUCCUGCUGCAUGGUGGGGGUUGGAAAGUUUCGGCGGUUGGGGAUGGACUCGCGGCUUAUCAGCUUGUUGGUGGGGUAGUGGCUUACAAAGGCUUUGACGGGUAGCCGGCCUGGGAGGGUGAACGGCCACAUGGGGACUGAGAGAGGGCCCAGACGCCUACGGGAGGCAGCAGUCGGGAGUAUUGCGCAAUGGGCGGAAGCCUGAUGCAGCAGCCCCGCGUGCGUGAUGACGGCCUUCGGGUUGUAAACCGCUUUCGCCUGUGACGAAGCGUGAGUGACGGUAAUGGGUAAAGAAGCACCGGCUAACUACGUG
rnacentral:rRNA from 1 species